rnacentral:lncRNA from 1 species
CUCUCAACAAAUCUGAAAUUUUAAUAAUAAUGAUAAGUGUUUAACAAGGUGGACAGCCAUGCCUUUAAAUAGGCCUUAUAACUAGUCCUAAUCUAAUUAGAAAACUAAAAUAAAAAAAACUCCUAAUUAUUUUAAUAUGGAAAUUCGGUCAAAGGUCAUUUUAUCUGGGACUCUUGGACUGAAUAUUGACAUAAAAAUUUAAACUAAGUAAAUAAAUAAAUAAAAAUAAAAAUAAAACUUUACAACUUGGGCCACUUUGACAAUUUGGCCUGAUUUUCAACUAAGUAUGGAUGGAUUUCUUGAUUAGGCUGGGAAUUUUCUUAUUGGGCCUUGCCCUCAAGAAUUUGGGCUUGUGAUCCAUCUCCUACCGAAAUUGAAUCGUUGAUGCUCGUAAUGGAGAUCCAAUGCGCUUUGGCUGCAAGAUUUGGUGUCUUGGACCAAGAUUCCCAAUAUUUGAAAUCUUGAUUUUCCCUUUCUUUUGUGUACGCAUCUAAGGCCUUACUAACAAACUCCUGGAUGGUCCCAUUUAGUUUGGAACGCAUUUGUCGGGCCUUUGAUCUCGUAUCAUUCCCCCCUUCCUCAAAAAGAUUCGUCCUCGAAUCUGAAAAAUCAAAUGGGGACAAGUCAGCCACAUUAAAAGUAGAACUUACAUUGUACUCACCAGGUAGAUCAAUUUUAUAGGCAUUAUCGUUGAUCCUCUCGAGUACUUGGAAAGGCCCAUCGCCCGUUGGGUCCAACUUGGUCUUUCUUCUUGCAGGAAAUCGUUCUUUCCUCAUAUGGACCCAAACCCAAUCUCCGGGUUUUAGGACAACCCGUUUGCGCCCCUUGUUUGCUUUGUUGGUGUUGGCAUCAUAUGUUUUGGCUAUUCGUUGCCUAGCCUGCUCAUGUAAGGAUUUCACCAACUCAGCUUUCUGUUCACCAUCUAAAUUAACAAUGUGUUCAAGUGGUAAUGGCGCAAGAUCAAGUACUGUUAGUGGGUUAAAACCAUAAACAAGUUCAAAUGGAGAAUAACCAGUUGUAGAAUGAAUAGAUCUAUUAUAUGCAAAUUCAACAAACGGUAGGCAUUCUUCCCAAUUUCUAAUGUUCUUUCCCACAACAGAUCGUAAUAAAGUCCCUAAGAUCCGAUUAACUACUUCAGUUUGGCCAUCAGUUUGGGGGUGACAUGUAGUGGAAUAAAGUAAUUUAGUACCAAGCUUACCCCACAAUACCUUCCAAAAGUGGCUAAGAAAUUUGACAUCUCUGUCAGAAACAAUUGUUUUAGGGAUGCCAUGAAGUCUUACCACCUCUUUAAAGAAUAAGUCUGUUACAUGUGUAGCAUCAUCUGUUUUGUGACAAGAAAUAAAAUGUGCCAUCUUUGAGAACCUGUCAACAACAACAAAUAUACUAUCUCUUCCCUUCUUAUUUCGAGGCAAACCUAGAAUAAAGUCCAUGGAUAAAUCUACCCAAGGUGAAGUAGGAAUCGGUAAAGGAGUGUAAAGGCCAUGAGGCAUUACCUUAGAUUUUGCUUGUUUGCAUGUAAUGCACUUGGAACAUACCUUUUCGACAUCCUUUUUCAUAUGUGGCCAAUGGAAGUGUUCUUGCAAGAUAUCUAGUGUUUUGGCCACUCCAAAAUGUCCCAUUAAACCUCCACUAUGGGCCUCAUGAAUCAAUAAGUCUCUCAUGGAACACUUUGGUAUGCAUAACCUGUUCAUACGAAAAAGAAAGCCAUCUACAAGAUAAAAUUUAUCGAAAGCAGUAUGUCCACAAUUCUUAUAGAUAUGGCCGAAAUCAGCAUCAUCAUCAUAUAGUUCCUUAAUAUGUUCGAACCCUAAGACUUUAGCAUUCAAUGUAGUUAUUAAAGUAUAUCGUCUAGACAAAGCAUCUGCAACUACAUUAUCUUUACCUGUUUUAUAUUGUAUCACAUAAGGGAAUGUUUCAAUGAAUUCUACCCAUCGAACAUGUCUUUUACUCAACUUACCUUGUCCCUUUAACCAUUUAAGAGAUUCGUGAUCUGUGUGUAUGACAAACUCAUUAGGCAGCAAAUAAUGUUGCCAUACUUGAAGUGCACGAACUAAUGCUAAUAGUUCUUUGUCAUAAGUCGAGUAGUUUAACUGUGCACCAUUCAAUUUCUCACUAAAAUAAGCAAUAGGUUGCUUAUCUUGCAUUAAAACAGCGCCAAUUCCAAUUCUUGAAGCAUCACACUCAAGUUCAAAAGUUUUAGCAAAAUCAGGUAAUUUAAGCAAAGGAGCAGAACAUAACUUAGCUUUUAGAGUUUGAAAAGCUUUUUCUUGGGUGUCACCCCAUUUGAAACCCACUGAUUUCUUUAUAACUUCAGUCAAUGGGGCAGCAAUAGUAGAGAAAUCUUUCAUAAAUCGUCUAUAAAAACUGGCUAAACCAUGGAAAGAUCUCACCUCAGUUACCGAUUUAGGAGUCGGCCACUCCUUAAUUGCCUUAACUUUGUCCUCGUCGACAUGAAUACCUUGAGCACUAACUAUGAAACCUAAGAAUAUUAGUUUAUCACAACAGAAUGUGCAUUUAUCAAGGUUGGCAAAUAAUCUUUCAGUUCGUAGAAUAUCCAAAACGGUUCGAACAUGGAAAACAUGAUCAUCUAAUGACUUUGAGUAAAUUAAAAUAUCAUCAAAGUAAACUACUACAAAUUUACCCAAAUGUAGCCUCAAAACAUGAUUCAUUAAUCUCAUAAAUGUACUAGGUGCAUUAGUAAGGCCGAAAGGCAUAACUAACCAUUCAUACAAUCCAAAUUUUGUUUUAAAGGCUGUUUUCCAUUCAUCCCCUUCCCUCAUUCGAAUUUGAUGAUAACCGCUUUUUAAAUCAAUUUUUGUAAAUAUUAUUGAACCAUGUAAUUCAUCAAGCAUAUCAUCAAGUCUAGGGAUUGGGUGUCGAUACUUUACCGUUAUCUUGUUGAUUGGGCGACAAUCAACACACAUACGAAACGUACCAUCUUUCUUUGGCACCAAUAAGACAGGAACAGCACAAAGACUUAGGCUCUCACGAAUGUACCCUUUGUCUAGUAAUUCCUCAACUUGCCUUUGCAAUUCCUUUGUCUCCUCGGGAUUGCAUCUAUAGGCUGGUCGAUUUGGGAUUGAAGCUCCGGGUACUAAGUCAAUUUGAUGUUCUAUCCCUCGUAAAGGUGGUAAACCUUUAGGGGCCUCACUAAAAACAUCCUCAUAAUCCUGCAAAAGAAAUUGAAACACACUAGGCAAAUUUUCGUUAAUGUUAGAUAAAGAUAAAUAAUUUUGCCUAAACCUCACAAGGAUACAAGGCUGUUUAUUAAGUAGGGCUCUCUUCACAUCUUUUUUUGUUGCCAAAAGAUUUUUUUCGCUCAUUUUACCACUAGAGGAUUCACUCACCUUUGAGCUUUUUAAAUUUUGACUUUUUCCACUACUAUUAGCCUCUUUUCUCUCUGUCUUUUGUACUUGCUCUUUCUCCCUUACCCCCUCACAAAAUUUUAUCAUCCUCAAUUGAUCUUUAUAUACAUCAGUAGGAUUUAAAGGAGCAAAAGUGAAUUUCUUGCCUUUAAAUACAAGGGAGUAUCGAUUAAGUUUACCUUGGUGUGUAACAUCGCGAUCAAAUUGCCAAGGUCGUCCAAGGAGCAAGUGUGCCGCAUGCAUGGGGACUACAUCACACCAUACGUCAUCCUCAUAAUUGCCGAGUUUAAAAGUGACCAAGGACUGUUUCGUAACUUUAACUUCGGAACAUUCAUUAAGCCACUGAAGGUGAUAUGGCUUAGGGUGUUUGGUUCAAGGCAACUUUAAAGAAUCCACCAAAUAACUAUUCACUACAUUCGAGCAACUCCCACUAUCAAUAAUGAGUGAACAUAAGUUACCUUUAAUAAAACACCGAGAAUGGAAAAUAUUGGUCCUUUGGCUCUCAUCAUCUUUCAUCUGAAUGUUAAGGGUUCGGCGAACUACAAAGCAAUGGAAAUUAGCAAAGUCCCCAUCUUUUGGUGGUUCGACCAACUCUUCGCCAUUAUCACUGUCAUCCACAAGUUCUGGCAUAUCUGGAUCUGUUUUAUCAGAGUCGGAAGUGUACUCACCAUUAUCUUUCAGAAGAAGUAAUCUCGUGUUAGGGCAUUCCCUACUAUAAUGACCACGCCCUUUGCACUUAAAGCACUCAAUCUCACGAGUCCUCUUCGCACUCGAAUCUCCUAAAUUGGGCUGCUUAGAAGGUGUUUGCGUUUUAACAGGAGCCCCUUUUUUCCAAUCUGAUUGCUUGCUUCCAUUACUCAAAGAAGGCUUGUUAGUAACGAAAGGUGAUUUUGAGCUCUUAAAAUCAGAAUUGGAAUUGUUACCUCGGUAAUAUUGCGAAGUCGAGAAGGAACCAAACCUUUGUUCCUUUAGUUGUUGCUCGAUCUCAAUGGCUUUAUGAACUGCUUCUUCCAAAUCAAUGUAAGUUUGUAGCCUCAAUGUAUUAGCUAUCGGCCUGUUCAAACCAUCAAUAAAUCGAACCAUAGUUGUUUCUUCAUCCUCCUCCACAUUAGCUCUCUGAAUGAGCAUCUCCAUCUCUUUAAAAUAUUCAUCCACUGUCCUACUACCUUGGAUAAGUCUUCUCAGCUUUGUUUUAAUUUCUCUAUAGUAGUGAGGUGGAAUAAACCUUUUACGCAUAAUCUGUUUCAACUCAUCCCAUGUCGAAAUCUCACCUUCAUAAUUCCGAUGGCGGUUUACCCCAAGUUGAGUCCACCAACUUAAUGCAUAAUCAGAAAAUUCCAGUGUUGCUAACGCUACCUUUUCAUCAUCCGGACAUUUAUAAUACCGAAACAUAAGUUCAAUCUUAGAUUCCCAUUCACAAUAAGCGUCAGGAUCAUUCUUACCACGAAAUUGGGGAAUUGUGAAUUUCGGUUUUGCCAAAGAAGGUUGCCCACGAUCAUGAAAAUCAUCAUCCAUUCUAUUGACACGUCGAGGGCCGCGCCUCUUGGGUUCCCUAUCUUCUUUGAUUGGAUCUCGAUAUUGAGGUUCUUGAUUCAACUGCACCUCAUUGAUGGUAGCAGUCAAAGCUCGAAGAGCAGCAGCCUGUUCAUCCAACUGUUGUUGGAAUUUUUUAAAUAUGUCACUAUUAUUAUCACCUGUAGACAUUUUUUUAAAACCUGCAAAACACUCAACACUCAAAAAUAAAAGUUAUCAAACCUCACCGUUAAUCACUCAAAAAGAAAAAAUCAAAUUCUCAAUGAGGUCGAAUUCAACCUUGUGAGUUCUUUAUCAGAGUUUAUAUCAACCAAUUAGAGAGUGUGAACCAAACUACCAAAGAAUCCUAAUUUGCACUAGGAUGCCAAAAACUGACGAGACACCAAUUGAUUCGUGUUGCACCGAGGAAGAAAUUGUGCACACGUUUAAAUCCUACUAACACAAGAAACAAGAAGGUGUUAGAUAACGUAAAGGAAGAAUAAAGGUAAACAAAUGAAAACCUACAGCUAAGAAUCAAUAAAAAUUGCUGAAAACAGAAAACUCGAAAAACUGCGGAGUAACUUGACAACUUCGUUCGAGGUGUUCCCGAUCUCCAAAAAUCACAAAAUUAAAUCUGGAAUGUCUUAAAAUAUUGAAUUUUUGAUCUGGAAAAUUUGGGCACCAAAUUCAACCCGCUGAAAAUUUUUUUAAUUUUUUAUUGGAUUUCGUCCUUUUUCAAUUUUUUGACUUUUUCGACUUAUUUUUUUGCGGGAAAUAUUUUUUUAUAUUCAAUAACAGUGCCAAAAAUAUGUAUGUAAAAUUUCAGAUCAAUCAGAAAACGUUUACCCACUAAAAUGAAUUUUUUUCGAAAAUUUUUCUGAGUAAAACUGCUGUUUGUAAUUUAAAAAAUAGAGAUCAGUUUAGAAAUCAACCAAGAACCCCCAAAACGCCAAAAAUCUGAUACCAAAUGAUACGGGGUUGCGCGCAGACCAAGAUCGAGUUGCCAAGUCACGGGAAACUCCUACGAAAACCCUAAACAAUUAGAUCUGAAACGAAACAAAAAAUUAAAAGAUUAGAUUUUUGAAUUUUCAGAUCUGAAAUAAAAUCCCCAAAUCAGCAAAGAAUCAAAUUGAGAAUAGAAAUAAGUGUUAGGGUUCUUGAAACCCUCAAGGAGAUUGUGAUUCUGCCCAAUUGAACACCAAGAUAGUUUUCCCCAAAUUUCGACAAUCUAAUUUCACCCAAAAAGAGUAUGGAAAAACCCUAGAAAUUGGGGAUUUUUGGGCUGAUUCCUUAAGAUAGAAAAAGGCUGAAAACACAAUAAGAACAGAAAAUAGAUUAGAUAAUGAUUCAGCACAAGUAGAAAUAAAGAAAGAAUUGACAGUAAGAAAUUAAAAGAUAAGUCCUAAGAAGCCUUGAAAUCUCGAAAGAUCUCACAACUCCCUUCAAACGGCUCUAAUCUCCCCUCCAAAGAAUAUCAAUGGCAAGAAGAAGGUUGAAGAUGGCUCCCACAAUCACAAGAUUGUUAAAACAACUUCUAAAGAAAACUCAAGAGAGAAAUCUUGGAGAAAACUCAAAGAAAAUUCUGCUCUCAACAAAUCUGAAAUUUUAAUAAUAAUGAUAAGUGUUUAACAAGGUGGACAGCCAUGCCUUUAAAUAGGCCUUAUAACUAGUCCCAAUCUAAUUAGAAAACUAAAAUAAAAAAAAAUCCUAAUUAUUUUAAUAUGAAAAAUUCGGUCAAAGGUCAUUUUAUCUGGGACUCUUGGACUGAAUAUUGACAUAAAAAUUUAAACUAAGUAAAUAAAUAAAUAAAAAUAAAAAUAAAACUUUACAACUUGGGCCACUUUGACAAUU